ensembl:lincRNA
AUUUGGACAUUACUGUGCAAAAGCCAGACAAGCAAAGCAGGUGCUGUCAAGUUUGCUAAUCUUUUACUUAUAUGUUUGUUUGUUUGUUUGUUUGUUUACUUGCCUUGGACAAAAUAAACUAAAUAAUGCAUCUAUUUAACUUAAUUUUUUUAGCAUUACAGAAGCAAUCCACAAACUCAAAGAAGCAAUAGAUCCUACAACUAUUUUCAGUGUCUGCGUCACAAGGGAGGACAUGUUUAAUCGAGGCUUGAUGCAAUGGAAACGUCAGAAGAAGUCUUCUCCAAAGAAUCCCCUCAGAGUAACAUUCAUUGGAGAGCCUGGGAUAGACAGUGGUGCCCUUAUGAAAGAAUUCUUGACAGAAAUGAUGGCUGGGAUUGAGGCAAAAUUCUUUGAGGGAGGCAAUUCUGGGAAAAAUCUGAAGUAUUCUACCACAGAUUUUCAGAACGACAAUUAUAGGACAAUUGGUGAAAUCAUGGCUGUAAGCAUUACACAAGAUGGCCCUCCCCCUAACUUUUUUCAGGAGUGGAUCUACAAUUUCAUCUCUUCUGGGGACAUUGAUAAAGAUCAGUUGUCAAAGGCUACAGUUACAGAUGCAGAUCUGCUAGACCUCAUCGAAAAGAUUGAGACAGCGGACGCUACAGCUCUUCUUGACCUUUUAGAAAGAAUCCUCGGAUGUGGGUACACUGGACCUCUAACAUGUGAAAGAAAGGAGGACAUUCUAAGGUAAAUAUGAUUCUACAAUGUUUUUCACGUUUUUUUUUUCAAACGUUUGGGGUCAGUAGGAUUUUUAAAUGUUUUAAAAUAAGCUUCUCCUGCUCACCAAGUCUGCAUUUAUUUAAUCAAAAAUACAGAACAAAUGGUAAA